CCUACGGGCGGCUGCAGUCGAGAAUUAUUCACAAUGGGGGAAACCCUGAUGGUGCGCCGCCGCGUGGGGGAAUGAAGGUCUUCGGAUUGUAAACCCCUGUCAUGUGGGAGCAAAUUAAAAAGAUAGUACCACAAGAGGAAGAGACGGCUAACUCUGUGCCAGCAGCCGCGGUAAUACAGAGGUCUCAAGCGUUGUUCGGAAUCACUGGGCGUAAAGGGUGCGUAGGCUGUAUCGUAAGUCGUGUGUGAAAGGCGCGGGCUCAACCCGCGGACGGCACAUGAUACUGCGAGACUAGAGUAAUGGAGGGGGAACCGGAAUGCUCGGUGUAGCAGUGAAAUGCGUAGAUAUCGAGAGGAACACUCGUGGCGAAGGCGGGUUCCUGGACAUUAACUGACGCUGAGGCACGAAGGCCAGGGGAGCGAAAGGGAUUAGGUACCCCAGUAGUC
rnacentral:rRNA from 1 species